UAUUUUCAAGUGACAUUUUCAAGUGACAUUUUCAUUGGACCCACAAUGCAACUCGGGUAUCACAAACAAGAAAAACAUGGYGAAUAUGAAUGAAGAUAUGAAUUACGAAGAAAAUGGACGCUCAGACGGCCACUUUUCUCAAAAGGGUAUAAUCCCUCCAACUUCGUCAACUCCUUUUUUCCUCCUUUUAUUAGCCUAUAAAGCAAGUAAUGAAAAGUCUAACUAUACAGAUUAUGGGAAGAGCCAUUGAAAACAUUUCAUAAUUUUAUUCAAAUUUUUGACACUUAGGUUUCAGAAUCAAGAAGGGGAUUGAUGGCACUUAGGAUUUUUGAAGGUGAAAAAUUAAUCUAAAUCUUAAUCCUAUUAAAUCAUGCAAGCAAUUCAAAUAUUAUCUCAUGGUUUCGAGUACUUUUUAAAAAUCAAUUACUUAUACCACAAUAUGUAGUUUAAAAAUAAAACAAAAGUGUUAAGUUUUUUACUGCCAUUGCAGUGUGCUGA